rnacentral:rRNA from 1 species
GACGAACGCUGGCGGCGUGCUUAACACAUGCAAGUCGAACGGAAAGGCCCUGAUCUUGUGGGGUUCUCGAGUGGCGCACGGGUGAGUAACACGUGUGUAACCUGCCCUUGUCUUUGGGAUAACUUUAGGAAAAAGGGGCUAAUACCGGAUAGGAGCUCCUGCUGCACGGGGUGGGUUGGAGAGUUUCGGCGGUUGGGGAUGGACUAGCGGCUUAUCAGCUUGUUUGUGGGGUAGUGGCUUACCAAGGCUUUGACGGGUAGCCGGCCUGGGAGGGGGAACGGCCACAUUGGGACUGAGAGACGGCCCAGACGCCUACGGGAGGCAGCAGUCGGGAAUAUUGCACAAUGGGCGGAAGCCUGAGGCAGCAACCCCGCGUGCGGGAUGACGGCCUUCGGGUUGUAAACCGCUUUCGCCUGUGACGAAGCGUGAGUGACGGUAAUGGGUAAAGAAGCACCGGCUAACUACGUG